rnacentral:rRNA from 1 species
GCGAGUGAAGCGGCAACAGCUCAAAUUUGAAAUCUGGCCUCGGCCCGAGUUGUAAUUUGCAGAGGAUGCUUUUGGUGCGGUGCCUUCCGAGUUCCCUGGAACGGGACGCCACAGAGGGUGAGAGCCCCGUAUGGUCGGACACCAAUCCUGUGUAAAGCUCCUUCGACGAGUCGAGUAGUUUGGGAAUGCUGCUCUAAAUGGGAGGUAAAUCUCUUCUAAAGCUAAAUACCGGCCAGAGACCGAUAGCGCACAAGUAGAGUGAUCGAAAGAUGAAAAGCACCUUGAAAAGGGGGUUAAACAGUACGUGAAAUUGUUGAAAGGGAAGCACUUGUGACCAGACUUGGGCCGGGCGGCUCAUCAGGGGUUCUCCCCUGUGCAUUCCGCCCGGUACAGGCCAGCAUCGGUUCUUACCGGGGGAUAAGAACGGCAGGAACGUGGCUCCCUCUCGGGGGAGUGUUAUAGCCUGCCGUACGAUACCCUGGCGGGGACCGAGGUUCGCGCUUCCGCAAGGAUGCUGGCGUAAUGGUUACUAGUGACCCGUCUUGAAACACGGACCAAGGAGUCGUCCAUUAGAGCGAGCGUUUGGGUGUAAAACCCGCACGCGUAAUGAAAGUGAAAUUAGGUGAGAGCUUCGGCGCAUCAUCGACCGAUCCUGAUGUUCUCGGAUGGAUUUGAGUAAGAGUUUUAACGGACGGACCCGAAAGACAGUGAACUAUGCUUGUAUAGGGUGAAGCCAGAGGAAACUCUGGUGGAGGCUCGCAGCGGUUCUGACGUGCAA